UUACGAGAGUCUCAGUAACGUUUCGGCUGCAGCGUGCUGCAGCAAGCAGUUUCUGUUGGAAAGCUGAUGACCUGCACGGAAUGCCAAGCCCCCUUGCCUUGAUAGCAGACAUUGCAUACGCCACGUAAGAUGAUCCUCAGCCCCGCAACCGACGACAAGAGAAGUUAUUAUUUGCCAAUUGCAGGAUAGCACGACCCGCAGCAGCCCUGUGCAUAAGAGCGACGCAGCCACGGCUUUCUGGACAUCAUAAUAGCAUCUCAAAGUCGUUCACAUAUGCCAAGUCAAGCCCUGGUCAGUAUGUCACCUUGCCCUUUGGUCACACCUAUGCUGGAUCAAGGGCUUCAUCGGUUCAUAUGACGCUAUCCUAAUACAUAAUCAAAAUGAAUGAUAGUUAUGACGGCCGUAAGCCGGAUAGGUAUCUUCCUGCAGUUGGUCCCUUGUGUGUUUGGGGUUGAAAACGCUUCGAGAGCAUAAGGUCAAAGGUUAUAGUCUAAGCUUGAAAACAUGUGCAAAUUACUUGUCAUAGUCAAAAUGGUUGUUUUGCGCAACGCGGAAACGACGACAGCAAGGGAACCAAUUUUGCGCGCGCGCUCCGAAGCCACGGUUUUCGGUCACUUUGACCGAGCUGAGGAUGUUGAUGACCGUGCUUCUCGUGUAC
rnacentral:lncRNA from 1 species